rnacentral:rRNA from 1 species
UUGGGCUACACACACGCUACAAUGGUCUGUACAAUAGGUUGCCAAGCCGCGAGGCGGAGCCAAUCCUAAAAGCAGGCCUCAGUUCAGAUUGCAGUCUGCAACCCGACUGCAUGAAGAUGGAGUUGCUAGUAACCGCAGGUCAGCUAUACUGCGGUGAAUACGUUCCCGGGUCUU